UACGGAGGGAGCUAGCGUUGUUCGGAAUUACUGGGCGUAAAGCGCGCGUAGGCGGCUUUGUAAGUUAGAGGUGAAAGCCCGGGGCUCAACCCCGGAAUUGCCUUUAAGACUGCAUCGCUUGAAUCCGGGAGAGGUGAGUGGAAUUCCGAGUGUAGAGGUGAAAUUCGUAGAUAUUCGGACGAACACCAGUGGCGAAGGCGGCUCACUGGACCGGCAUUGACGCUGAGGUGCGAAAGCGUGGGGAGCAAACAGG
rnacentral:rRNA from 1 species